GCAUGGUGAUGACCUAUGAAUUGACAGCCAGUGUUUGCAACACAACUGCCUGUCAGUUCUGUAGGCCACUGCUGUGU
rfam:Salmo salar isolate Sally breed double haploid chromosome ssa11, whole genome shotgun sequence.